rnacentral:rRNA from 1 species
CGUAGGGUCCAAGCGUUAUCCGGAAUCACUGGGCGUAAAGCGUGCGUAGGUGGCGCGUUAAGUGUGAUGUUAAAUCGUGGGGCUCAACCCUAUCGAUGCAUCGCAUACUGGCGUGCUAGAGGACAGCAGAGGCAAGUGGAAUUUGUAGUGUAGCAGUGAAAUGCGUAGAUAUUACAAGGAACACCAAUGGCGAAGGCAGCUUGCUGGGCUACUCCUGACACUGAGGUACGAAAGCGUGGGGAGCGAACAGGAUUAGAUACCCUGGUAGUCCACGCCGUAAACGAUGCAUACUAGACGUAUGGGGUAUCGACCCCCUGUGCGUCGAAGCUAACGCGAUAAGUAUGCCGCCUGGGAAGUACGGCCGCAAGGCUA